rnacentral:rRNA from 1 species
UACGAAGGGGGCUAGCGUUGUUCGGAUUUACUGGGCGUAAAGCGCACGUAGGCGGAUUGUUAAGUCAGGGGUGAAAUCCCCAGAGCUCAACUCUGGAACUGCCUUUGAUACUGGCAAUCUCGAGUCCGGAAGAGGUGAGUGGAACUCCUAGUGUAGAGGUGGAAUUCGUAGAUAUUAGGAAGAACACCAGUGGCGAAGGCGGCUCACUGGUCCGGAACUGACGCUGAGGUGCGAAAGCGUGGGGAGCAAACAGG